rnacentral:rRNA from 1 species
UGCAGUCGAACGGUAACAGGUCUUCGGAUGCUGACGAGUGGCGAACGGGUGAGUAAUACAUCGGAACGUGCCCGAUCGUGGGGGAUAACGCAGCGAAAGCUGUGCUAAUACCGCAUACGAUCCACGGAUGAAAGCGGGGGACUCGCAAGGGCCUCGCGCGGACGGAGCGGCCGAUGGCAGAUUAGGUAGUUGGUGGGAUAAAAGCUUACCAAGCCGACGAUCUGUAGCUGGUCUGAGAGGACGACCAGCCACACUGGGACUGAGACACGGCCCACACUCCUACGGGAGGCAGCAGUGGGGAAUUUUGGACAGUGGGCGCAAGCCUGAUCCACCCAUGCCGCGUGCAAGAUGAAGGCCUUCGGGUUGUAAACUGCUUUUGUACGGAACGAAAAAUCUCUCUCUAAUACGGGGGGUGAAUGACGGUACCGUAAGAAUAAGCACCGGCUAACUACGUGCCAGC